rnacentral:rRNA from 1 species
GACGUAGGGCGCGAGCGUUGUCCGGAUUUAUUGGGCGUAAAGAGCUCGUAGGCGGCUUGUCGCGUCGUCCGUGAAAACCCGAGGCUCAACCUCGGGUCUGCAGUCGAUACGGGCAAACUAGAGUAUUGCAGGGGAGACUGGAAUUCCUGGUGUAGCGGUGAAAUGCGCAGAUAUCAGGAGGAACACCGGUGGCGAAGGCGGGUCUCUGGGCAAUAACUGACGCUGAGGAGCGAAAGCGUGGGGAGCGAACAGG